rnacentral:misc_RNA from 1 species
UUGGCUCUAUGGCUUGACUAA